AACUUGGUCUGAAAUCGGGCAAGAAAACCCGCUGAACUUAAGCAUAUCAAUAAGCGGAGGAA
rnacentral:rRNA from 2 species